CAAAUGUUGGUGAGGAUGUGGAGGAAAAGGAACUCUCAUACAUUGCUGAUAGAAAUGUAAGUUGGUGCGGUGAUUAUGAAAGACGGUGUGGAGGAUCUUUACGCAGUUAAAGGUAGAUCUCCCAUAUGAUGCAGCUACCUCACUUCUGGGCAUGUAUCCAAAGGAAAUGAUUAUGAGCACACCAAAGAGAUCCUAGCAUGGUCUUGUUU
rnacentral:lncRNA from 1 species